AAAGCACUUGUCUAGCGAAUAAGGGUCGUGAGUUCAAAUCUCACCUGAGCUG
rfam:Aedes albopictus isolate Foshan contig85488, whole genome shotgun sequence.